GGGGAACUUGCAAGGGCCUGCAGCUAGUUCCAAUGCCAGUAGCUAUGGCCGGCGGCGGUCGAGUCCUUGAUUGCCGCAGUUUCUGGAAGGCCGGCGCGUACGAGGCCCCCGCCGCCCCCUCCCACGAGUUCCAAGAUGCCCUAGAGACAGGGGACUUCGACCGCGCUCGCGUGCACCCUAAGUUUCUCCACACCAACGCGACCUCCCACAAGUGGGCUUUCGGAGCUAUAGCUGAACUUCUUGACAAUGCGGUGGAUGAGAUAAACAAUGGUGCCACGUUCAUAAAAGUGGAUAAAAGCAUCAAUUUGAAAGACAAUAGCCCAAUGCUAGUUUUCCAAGAUGAUGGAGGAGGUAUGGAUCCUGAAGCUGUUCGUCGAUGCAUGAGUUUAGGAUUCUCAACCAAGAAAUCUAAGACCACUAUUGGCCAGUAUGGAAAUGGCUUUAAGACAAGCACAAUGAGACUUGGUGCUGAUGCGAUUGUUUUUACUCGUGCAAUCCGUGGAAGUUUGUUCUCCUGCAGUGAUGUUACAUUGAGUAUAGGUUUGCUCUCCUACACUUUUUUGAGGAGAACAAUGAAGGAUGACAUAGUUGUCCCAAUGCUCGAUUUUAAAAUCCAAGAUGGGGACAUUGUACCUUUGGUGUAUGGUUCACAGGGUGAUUGGGAUAGUAGCCUAAAGAUAAUACUUGAUUGGUCUCCUUUUUCUUCAAAGGAAGAACUUCUGCAGCAGUUUCAGGAUGUUGGUAGCCAUGGAACUAAAGUGGUAGUGUAUAAUUUGUGGCUGAAUGAUGAUGGCCUUUUGGAACUUGACUUCGAGGAUGACGAUGAGGACAUAUUGCUUAGAGAUCAAGGUAGUGCAAGUGGGGGAGUCACAAAGGGCCAGAAAGAAAUUGUUCAGCAACAUAUAUCCCACAGACUCAGAUUUUCAUUGCGAGCUUACACCUCCAUCCUUUACCUCAAGAAGUUUGAUAAUUUCCGAAUUAUAUUAAGAGGAAAACCUGUUGAACAGAUAUGCAUCAUUGAUGAAUUGAAGUUUAAGAAAGUUGUCACUUACAAACCUCAAGUCUCACAUGAUUCUCGAGUGGUCUCAGUGAAAGUUGAUGUUGGCUUUGCAAAGGAGGCCCCUAUUCUGGGCAUUUUUGGGAUGAAUGUCUACCACAAAAAUCGUCUUAUAAUGCCCUUCUGGAAGGUCCUUCAGGAGGGAUCUAGUAGAGGGAGAAGUGUAGUUGGUGUACUUGAGGCAAAUUUUAUUGAGCCGGCACACGAUAAACAAGAUUUUGAGAGGACUCCACUAUUUAUUCGUCUAGAAACAAAACUUAGACAAAUUAUUGUUGAUUUCUGGAAAGAAAAGUGUCAUUUGAUUGGUUAUCAGCCAACUGAUCCACAUUUAAGAUCCCAGUAUAAGGCCACCCUUAAAGAUUCAGGUGGUCCAGCUCAGGUUCACCAUAAAGCUUCCACUGCCCGGAGGACUGCAGGGCUGUCGUCAAAUUUGCUACCAGAGACAUAUGACGACAUAGCAGCUGUUGGGUUGGCAAAUAAUGGUUCUCAUUUGCAGUCAUGUGGCCAAGCGGAAGAAAACAAUAUGGAGUCAGAAGGCUUGGAUGAGGAUCUGGUAGAGUUUGGCUCUGGUGUUCUCGAUCCCAAUUUUGUUGAGAAGCUGAGCGAAGAAAACAUUGCGCUGUUUACAAGGAUAGCUUUGGGAAACUAUUUAGCACCACGGAAUGUUCAGCUCACCGGCGUGAAGAGCUUCGACAACAAGAUACACAGUUGAAGCGGAAGAUUGGGGACCUGGAGCAUGAACUGGAGGAAACAAAAAGGAAGUGCGGUCAGCUUGCUGCUGAGCUGAAGGUGCGAAAGAAUCAGCAGAAUCUUCCUUACAUGUGAAGCGGCCAACACAUGAGCAGCUAACUUGUAGGUCUAGAAAUUGUCUGGGGCUCAAAUGGAAUUAGCUAGCUUUUACUCCAAAAAAUGAUCUUGUUAAGAGUGUAGAUUGCAAUUUGAGUUUGAAAUUUUCAAAUUCUGAUCGAUGGGCAUUGAUUUUGGCGCCAAAUAGACUUGUUUGUAUGGUAGCUGUAAUAGAGAGGGAGGUUUAGGGGUGGGAACCAAUCAAUUUGUUUUUUCCUGGUUAGUUCCAUUUUCUUGACUCAAGGAAUAAAAUUAGUUUAGUGCAUCAUCAGUUCAUUGUAAUUACCAUGCAAUUACAAAUAAGAAUUUGGUUAUCACUUGAGAAAUACUACCUCUGUUCUUAAAUAUAUGACAGACUUUUUUCGUUCAUUUGACUUUUCAUCUUUCCUAUAAAUUUUUAUACAUAUAGGUAAAUCUACAAGUCAAACCUAAAGUAUAUCUGAUGAUAGAUCUAAUGAUACUUAUUUUAAUUUAUUUGACUAAUAGAGUAAGUAAAUAUUGUUGUUCUAAAUUCAGAAAAAAGUCAAUGGUGUCAUAUAUUUAAGAACAGAGGUAGUAUGGAAUUAAGGGUCAACUUGUCCUAACUUGAUCUAAAAAUGCCCUUGCUUGCUUUUCUUUUAAUGCAAAAAAGCACUCAAUUAUUUCAUGAUUAAAGUACUGACGACACAUAAAGUGGUUCAGGGAGGUCAUAUCUACUUUUCAAUCUACAACUUUGAUUUUCUGCCUGUUCUUUGCAUUUUGUUCAUUUUGAGCUGCCUUGUCACUGAUCACAUGAAGUACUGACGACAGAAGGCAUAUUUAUUGGGGGGCAUCAAAUGAUAAACUUAAUCAAUAAUGCCAACCAUUGUAACUUCAAAUUUCGUCUUUAAUAAAAUGGUGACCUAACAAGUAGACAUUUUUUUCUGUUUGUUAGUAAGCAAGCUU